UAGUCCUGAGAUGAUAAAAUGUUUUUAAUAAAACAUUCCUUUAAAUUGACUUUUUAACAAACAUUUUGCAUGAUACAUUUUGAGGAUUUUUUGUCGAAAUGUUGUUAUCUUUUAUAAAUCAUUGGCACAAUAACAAAGGAGGAACAUUAUCAAAGCAACAUUCAUCAAAUGUUUUGUGGACAUUUACCUGAGAUGACAAAAUCUCAUAAUAUAUGUUAACAAAAGCUCAUAAAAUUGUAAGGAUAUUUUAAGGAAGCUGUUUAGGUAACAGAUUGUAGAAUUAUUUUAACCUAUAGAAUAAUGGCAUAAUUUUCCAUAAUGAAAGAGGAACAUUGUCAAAACAGCAUACGGUAAAGUGUUUUGAGGAUAUAUUAGGCUACUCUGAAAUGAACUGUUGCGACAAAUGCGUUUACAAGAGAUGAGAAGCUGAUUGGAGGUCGCUGUAGAUCGACGUUUAAAACCACCAAUCACAGCGCGAUGUUCCCAUGACGUAAGAACAUUUGAACUCGACAAACAGCGCAAAUAAAGCAACGUUUCUGUUGAAGAAAUCGGCGCAGAAUGUCCGUUGUCUAAAUUGGCGACACAUUGGCCCAAAACAACAGAACUCCUGGUCAACGGAACUCUUUCACAACUAAUGGCAGUGAAUGGCCGUCUAUCAAGGCGCAUCCAUCCAUGAUAAAAGUAAUCCACCACAUGACUCUGGCGGGGGACUCUAUAAAGCCCUUUUAAAGCGAAGCAUUUGUGCUAUGAGGAAAAACUCUACUGUGCACACAGAGAACAGAGCUCAAUGCUAACUGGGGGAGCAGCUGGACAACUAGAAGAGAGAAUAGUAGAACACUAUUAUUAAUACAGAUUCCUGGAUUAUUUUUCUGCAAGAACCAAAACAAGCAAAGACUGAUGAUGAGUGCUCUGAGCAAACACCGCAGUCAAGACGCAUGAGUGACUUUACUGAGUUCUUCAUGUAAUGUUGGGCAUUUACUGUACGCAGAACUUCUAAUAAUUUAUGUGGAUGCCAUUUAAACCUGUUAGAUUUUGAUGUUUUAGUUUUGAGAUUAAUAAAAUGUUAUGCUUUAACAA